AAUAUUGCGCAAUGGAGGGAACUCUGACGCAGCGACUCCGCGUGAGCGAUGAAGGNUUNNGGAUUNUNAAGUUCUGUCCUUGGNNNNNAAGGCGGCCAUACACGGUCACUUGAUGGUACCCAAGUUGGAAGCCCCGGCUAACUACGUGCCAGCAUCCGCGGUAAUACGUAGGGGGCAAGCGUGGUCCGGAAUUAUUGGGCGUAAAGGGUGCGUAGGCGGCCUUUUAAGUCAGAUGUGAAAGACCACGGCUUAACCGGGGGGUUGCAUUUGAAACUGGAGGGCUUGAGUAUCGGAGAGGGUAGUGGAAUUCCCAGUGUAGCGGUGGAAUGCGUAGAUAUUGGGAGGAACACCAGUGGCGAAGGCGACUACCUGGACGAAAACUGACGCUGAGGCACGAAAGCUAGGGGAGCAAACA
rnacentral:rRNA from 1 species